rnacentral:rRNA from 1 species
UACAGAGGGGGCAAGCGUUAUUCGGAAUUAUUGGGCGUAAAGGGCGCGUAGGCGGCUUUGCAAGUGACGGGUGAAAUCCCUCGGCUUAACCGAGGAACUGCCUGUCAAACUGCAUGGCUUGAGACCGGGAGAGGUGAGUGGAAUUCCCAGUGUAGCGGUGAAAUGCGUAGAUAUUGGGAGGAACACCAGUGGCGAAGGCGGCUCACCGGACCGGUACUGACGCUGAUGCGCGAAAGCGUGGGGAGCAAACAGG